AGUUUAUAUUUUUAUGAAUGUACAAAUUGUAUGAAUUUUUAUGAAAGUUUAUAUUAUAAUGAAUGUAAAUGAUGAUGACUUACAUGUCAGUGUUUUAUUGAAAAAUAAUUUUUUACAUUACAUUACAAACAGUAUUGCUGUAUGCGUAUUUUAUGAAUAUAUGUAUAUUUUGUCUUGUGCUGGCAGAUUUAUUUUCACCAAAACCAAGGAAUGUCCCUCUCUACAUCAACAUUUUUUUUCCUAAGAUCAUCAAGAUACCAUUCACAGUACCUUACUUUUAGGUGAUCAAAUGUUUCUUAUGAAUAGCCUAUAUAAACUUUAUAAAUGCCUAGCUGCAUAAAUAGCUGCAUAAUUGUUUGAUUUGUAAUACAUUACACCACUUCUUUGAAAUCAUAUCAUCAUUUCAAUUACAAAUUAUCAUAACAUUUAGCACCAUAUUAAAUGAUGGUGCAGCCUCUUUAGAAUGGCAACUAUUAAUAAUCCUGCUCUUGGAGCUUGGGUCUUACAAGACUUUGUACCAGACAUUCAGCCAUGACAAAGAUCUCUCCCAAGAUUAGCAACAAGAAUCAGGUCUAUGUGGAGAGCCGGACACUUCCUGACUGACAUCAGAGGUUUCUUGUUGCAGUCAGGUGUGUGCGUCUCCGACAGCACAAUUACACAACAUUGUCGUCGUGAGACUCCUGCAACUAAAAAAACCAACUGUACUGAAAAUGAACAGUGUAGCACGACAAGCUCUUGACGAUAUACUGAAUGAGGAUGAUAAGCGGUCUGCUACAAAUAUUCAGAGUGAGCUUCAGUCCCGAUUGCAAUUAUGAGUAUCAACCAGCACCAUCAGGAGACACAUAAAGCUUCGACAGACCCAAAUUCAGCAGUGGAUGACUGCUGAAGAGACCUUUGACAAUGUAAUCUUCUCUGACAAAUCUAACCACCAUAUCCCGUCAGGGAGCGGAACCACUAGUUGUCUUCAAAGGAAUUGUGGACUGUGAAUUUUAUCAAGAAUGCAUCAAAAAAACUAAUUUGGCGCCAUACUUAUGGCAACACUUCGAAGGACCUCAUUGCUUCUUCCAAAACUUAUGUACUACACAAUGUACUACACAACUGACCACAAUGAGCAGUUCCUUUGAAUUUGUUAAAAUUAUUAUUAUUUAAAUUAUAUUAGCUUAAUUGAUUAUGUAUUUUCUAAUGUUUCUGUGUGAUUACAGACAAUGACCCAAAACAUACAGUGGCCAGACAGUGUAAUUGCUGAGGAGGGUGUCAACUGGGUGAAAACACCAGCCGAAUUACCGGAUCUCAACCCAGUCAAGCUGGUUUGGCACAUACUGAAGGAGUUUGUCAGACGUGAGGCCAAGCCAAGGAGUAAAGAUGAGCUUCUUCGGGCCAUUGUGACAUUUUGGACAGAUCGCCAGACUAAAGCAGCCUGCAACAGAUAAAUCGACUGCCAGCUGUGGUCGAGCGUAACGGGGGCUCAUCUGGAAUGUAGCAGAUUUAUUGUACUGUUGCCAUUAAUUAGUAAAUAAACUGC